rnacentral:pre_miRNA from 1 species
AGUUGUAUUACUAGGCAAUUACUCAUUUGGCAGCAGUGUUUUUUCAAAACUGCUGCCAAAGAAGAUUUGCCCAGCAAUUCAUCU